AUUGAACGCUGGCGGCAGGCGUAACACAUGCAAGUCGAGCGAGCGGCGGACGGGUGAGUAAUGUCUGGGAAACUGCCUGAUGGAGGGGGAUAACUACUGGAAACGGUAGCUAAUACCGCAUACCAUCGGAUGUGCCCAGAUGGGAUUAGCUAGUAGGUGGGGUAACGGCUCACCUAGGCGACGAUCCCUAGCUGGUCUGAGAGGAUGACCAGCCACACUGGAACUGAGCCACGGUCCAGACUCCUACGGUAGGCAGCAGUGGGGAAUAUUGCACAAUGGGCGCAAGCCUGAUGCAGCCAUGCCGCGUGUAUGAAGAAGGCCUUCGGGUUGUAAAGUACUUUCAGCGGUGAGGCGUUACCCGCAGAAGAAGCACCGGCUAACUCCGUGCCAGCCGCCGCGGUAAUAC
rnacentral:rRNA from 1 species